UCAUGUUUCGAGCUCUCAAAAAAUGGCGUGGAAACAGAUAGAAACUCUUGAAUGGAAAUUGAAAAGAAAUGUAACCCCAGUUCCUUCGGAAAUGGUAAGAUCUUUAGCGCAAGAAGAAGGGGCGACCCAUAUAAUUUUGACUUGGUUCUGCUUCCCAUCUUUUUUUAAGAAUACGGCUAAAUCGGAGAUGGGCGGUGAGACAAACCGGACACUAGGCAGAUCACAUGCAUGGGGAACAGGGAUUUGACCGAAGAAACUGCUCAGUGGCAGUCUAUACGCCCAAUUGAGGAGCCUCUCCCCGCAGUGUUUUACGUGUCGCACGGAAAGAGGAGCAAAAAAAAAAUCAAAAAACCUUGGAGGUUGUGCCCUUGAGGCGUGGCUUCCGGAGCUAACGCGUUAAGUCGACCGCCUGGGGAGUACGGCCGCAAGGUUAAAACUCAAAUGAAUUGACGGGGGCCCGCACAAGCGGUGGAGCAUGUGGUUUAAUUCGAUGCAACGCGAAGAACCUUACCUACUCUUGACAUCCAGAGAACUUUCCAGAGAUGGAUUGGUGCCUUCGGGAACUCUGAGACAGGUGCUGCAUGGCUGUCGUCAGCUCGUGUUGUGAAAUGUUGGGUUAAGUCCCGCAACGAGCGCAACCCUUAUCCUUUGUUGCCAGCGGUUAGGCCGGGAACUCAAAGGAGACUGCCAGUGAUAAACUGGAGGAAGGUGGGGAUGACGUCAAGUCAUCAUGGCCCUUACGAGUAGGGCUACACACGUGCUACAAUGGCGCAUACAAAGAGAAGCGACCUCGCGAGAGCAAGCGGACCUCAUAAAGUGCGUCGUAGUCCGGAUUGGAGUCUGCAACGGUAACCGACUCAAAGCAAUUUGAUUGUAAUUCAAUUCAUGACGAUCAUAAGUAGAAAGUUCAUAUUCUUCAGUCAUUGAUAAACAGUUUGUUGGACAGUACUCAACACAAUUACCACAAAAU
rnacentral:rRNA from 1 species